GNUUGGCUUAUGGAACCACAGUUGUGUGCUCCGCUGCAUUACGUCGAAGGCAAAUACUCCCUCUAAUCGGUGUGGACUUGCACGCACCGGUCGGGCUUGAUAAUAUCAAGCCUGUAGACGACGGUUCGCCUAACGCUCUCACCUGAAAGGUGAAAGCGUUAGCUGAAGGCGUCGUAGGCAUUGGUUGGUUGCGUCUGCUGGCUCUGACCCGGGUGUAGAUUAUCUCUUGGUAAUCUCAAGCUCGUGAUGACGGUUUUCAGUGAUUAUCUUCCUGGAUCGUUGUCAAUCGGGCUCGAUAAUCUCGAGCUCGUAUGGGUACCGUCGCUUGUGGUUUCCGUUGCUGCCUGAUCUUGCUUACAUAUAUGUGCGUGUUUGGACUUGUUUCUCAUGCCUCGUUAGCGAUUGACUGUCCAUAGCUUUGCAAACGAAGGGCUCGUUUCUUUGUGACAUGAUCUGAUGUUGAUUCGAGCUGCUCGUCCGUUCGGUCUAUGUUGCGCGAGCAACAUGAGCGACCGGUUCCUUCCACGUGGAUAUAUGUAAGCAAGCGAUGAUGCAACGGAAAAUGCAUGUUACGGUACCGUUGGACCCUUCCUGAUGACGGUUUAUAUUCCUGACUUUCCCAUCGUUCGGGGCAUUCUGGGGCUGUUUUGGCUAUUGGUUGCUUGUUUGGUCUUGAGCUGAAUGGGUGGCUUCUAGUCUGGUGGCUUCGGGGAUGUUGACCGUAAAGGUGGAUGAGUGGUGUUUGGUUUGUUACGUGUGGUUGGCUGCGGCGUUUGCAACAACUUCCAUGCUUUCAGACCUCUUCAGUUGUGCGGCAAGGCUUGUAUCGCUUUGAGCGUAUUGUGGGUUUUCUGUGUUGGCUACCUAAUCAACGGUAUCGUUUGGAUUGAUCAAAGUUUGAUUUCGUCUUCCGUCGCGUUUGCGGCGUGAGGUGAACCUUGAUGCGGUCUCUUUGAUCCAUCUCGUCGAAGCACAUGCUUUGACGUUGUGGCACAUUGAGCAUUGCUUGGUGUCUUGUAUACGGAACACGUAGUGGGCAUGGAUCUAACGAUUCUUGUUUGCCCUCAUAUUAGCGUAACGCUUCUCUAACACGACUUGCACC
rnacentral:misc_RNA from 1 species